rnacentral:rRNA from 1 species
ACAAGUCUCCGUUGGGAACCAGGGAGGGAUCAUUAUGAGUUUACGCUCUAUAACCCUUUGUGAACAUACCUAUAACUGUUGCUUCGGCGGGCAGGGUCUCCGUGACCCUCCCGGCCUCCCGCCCCCGGGCGGGUCGGCGCCCGCCGGAGGAUAACCAAACUCUGAUUUAACGACGUUUCUUCUGAGUGGUACAAGCAAAUAAUCAAAACUUUUAACAACGGAUCUCUUGGUUCUGGCAUCGAUGAAGAACGCAGCGAAAUGCGAUAAGUAAUGUGAAUUGCAGAAUUCAGUGAAUCAUCGAAUCUUUGAACGCACAUUGCGCCCGCCAGCAUUCUGGCGGGCAUGCCUGUUCGAGCGUCAUUUCAACCCUCAAGCUCUGCUUGGUGUUGGGGCCCUACAGCUGAUGUAGGCCCUCAAAGGUAGUGGCGGACCCUCCCGGAGCCUCCUUUGCGUAGUAACUUUACGUCUCGCACUGGGAUCCGGAGGGACUCUUGCCGUAAAACCCCCCAAUUUUCCAAAGGUUGACCUCGGAUCAGGUAGGAAUACCCGCUGAACUUAAGCA